GAUGAAGAACGUAGCGAAAUGCGAUACGUAAUGUGAAUUGCAAAUUCAGUGAAUCAUCGAGUCUUUGAACGCACAUUGCGCCCCCUGGUAUUCCGGGGGGCAUGCCUGUCCGAGCGUCAUUGCUGCCCUCAAGCACGGCUUGUGUGUUGGGCCCCGUCCUCCGAUCCCGGGGGACGGGCCCGAAAGGCAGCGGCGGCACCGCGUCCGGUCCUCGAGCGUAUGGGGCUUUGUCACCCGCUCUGUAGGCCCGGCCGGCGCUUGCCGAUCAACCCAAAUUUUUAUCCAGGUUGACCUCGGAUCAGGUAGGGAUACCCGCUGAACUUAAGCAUAUCAAUAAGCGAGGA
rnacentral:misc_RNA from 1 species